rnacentral:misc_RNA from 1 species
ACAAAUUACCAGCAAGAGUUGUAGCUGGCCUUUUGGGGCAACAUGCACGCCCGAGCCUUUAAUCCACAUACACCUGUGAAGCCAAUGUAAGGGCCUGUAAAAGGGUCCCCUAUGUCUCCAUAGAUACAUGUUUAAUGGAAUGUAAAUGCAAAUCCUUGCCUGAAAAAAGUGUUGUA